AAAGAAACAACGCCGCAUAUCAUGUAAAAAUGCAUGACACACAUAAGGAAGUCAUAAGCAAAACAAGAAUACCCAUCUUGUACCAUCACAUACACAUAAUUAAUAAAAAUUGUCCCCGGACUAUCACAUAACAUCCCCAUAAUUCCACCCUUAUUUUGCCGCGUGAGCAUCACAAUGAAUAUUUUCCCUUAUCUUGCCACGUGCGUAUUAAAAAACCUACCCCUUAUGCAGCCGCACGCGCAUCUAGUCACCCUUAUCCCAUUUCAUGGGCAUCACAAAUGAAAUGCUUCCCUUAUAUCUCUGCAUACGCAUCUAUAAUCAAUCUGCACAACAUGUCCAAUUGUCCAUAUGUUCCACAACAACACAACAAUACAAAAUAAUAAAUUAUCAUCAAGAGGCACAUCCCAUAAUUCAUCAAUAAAGCGAACAAGAAUAUGAUAAAAAUAAAAGUGCAGAUAAAGCAUAAUCAUGGUUAAAUCAAGUGUAGGAACUAAGUCCAAAUAGUCAUUCAAAUAAUCACAUAUGUAUCACGGAGUGUCCAUGUCUCAAUCAAGGCACAUUAAAAGAUCAAAUCCGGAUGUGUAUUCAUAGCCUAUAUGUAUCUAUCCCCAAGACAAAUAUAAUAUAGGUCUUAGGAUUUGAACGCCAUAUUCAGCAUAAGGUACCAUAGUAUCAACAUUCUCUAUCAUGGUUUAUAGUACUCACGCAGUCGAUUAAUUAAUAACAUAUUGAGUCAAGAAAAAUACACAAUCAGAUAACGCAUAGAGUAAGCUAGAAUAUCCCUUGAGCAUGAACACCCAUGGCACAUGUAUAUACGCUUGUUACCUUAUAAAUAUAUCACCCCGCAUGUUAUCAUGCCCCAUUUUCUCUCAAAAGUGGGCUUCGACACGUAACAACUCUUUUAAAGGAAGGGCGUUAAAAGGAAAGAGUCAUCACCUAAUGAUUUUGAGGUGCGUUAGGACACCUAUAUGCACAUAACUCUAUUUGACUAGUCAACGCCACCAAAGGUCAGGUAAGGGCUCAAAUUACCUCAAAGAGAAGGUAUUAGGCACUCUUCGAGGUGCACAAGUGUGGGUCUCAACCGAACUUAAGACUAUGUGGAUUGUGUAAUUAGACUAAGUGAUCAAAUAAAUAAAUAGAAUAUAAAAAAUUGAAGAAUCUCAUUAUUGCACAAUAAGAAUUGGCAUAAACCAUUAAUGGUUAUAAUGAUACAACUACAAUGGUCUAUGUUAAAUAACUAAGUGUGAAUAGCAAGUAAAGCAGGGGAUGUCCUAAGUUUUUUAGCCUAAAAGAUCACCCCGUGCAACAUAAAUAGUACUUUGCAACUCCUUUUUAGAUAGAAGUUGCUCAUAUUAUUCAGCGAGCACAGACUAUCCACUCCUGCUACCUGAGUACUAUGUUGAAAUUGUUUACUUAAAGUGAUCUAAUUUAAUUUUAAGUCGUGUCCUACGCGUGCACUACCCGUCACAUGCCUAUGGUAUCGGGGGCUUUGGACCUCUAUUUGUGUGGUUCUAGACUUACUUAGGUUGCUCAGAAAUGAACAAACUAGUCGCGUAUCCAAAAUAAAUAGGACUACACAUAAUAGCAAAGAAUGACUUAUGUUUGCCUCCACACAUAAACAAAGAAGCAUGCAGACUGAUUUUAGAUUAAGCAGUAGAACAUUUCGAGCUUAAGGCUUAGUGUCUUUUAAUCCUAUAGGAAUGAUCUCUAUAUAAUUCAGCAUCAACGAGUAAAGCUGCAUUUUUAGGCCAACGUAUAGACAGAUGAAAUCAUUAUAAGUCCUACAGACAUGGUUUCUAAGUGAUUCUAAUUUCUAGCAAUGUACAAGCAACAGAUUUGCAGGUUACAAAACUACAGGCAUGGUUUCUAGAUUGCUGGCGCAAAGAGGUAGUGAAGCGACUCCAGAAAACCUGAUUUUAUAGACAAGUUCCUUAGUCAGGUGACAGUGUCCUUGAAGCAUGAUAUCUAAUACUUAGCAAUUGAUUUUAUAGUUUUAUCUCUAUAAGCAUGCUAUCUAAACAACACAAAAGAUAUGGAGCAGUUGGUUGAUUUUUAAUCAUAUAUGCAUGGUAUCUAGAUGAGUAGAAUAUUGUAUUGCUACGCCCUAUAGACAUGCUAUAUAAGAAAACACAGUAGCGCAAAUAGGUACGACACAUACUUGAAAGAGCAUAUUCUUAAGUGGUGUGUGUGUGACUUCUAUAGGCAAGCUUUCUACUCAUGAAGUUUAAAACAUGUAAAGCAAAUAGAAAAUAGAUCACAUAGAUCCUAUACAUUCUUUCUAUCAAUUUGCUGAGGACUAUAGUACCUUACCCCCUUUUUACUAAUUUCCCCAUCUGUGUUUGUUCACAAAUUAUUAUAGACCCGAAAAUAAUGAAUACAAGUGCAGAUAUUACAUAUUAAAAGACUACAUGCCUAAUACAUAGAGCAAGUCCAAAAGAAUAUAACCAAAUAACAACUGGGCAUACAUCAAGCUUCUCCUUUCACACGAAUAGUAAACCCAGAACACAAUAUAUUUCAAAGUAAGAGUGUAUCAUUUACACAUAUAAGGCCAUUCACAAACUCAUACCAGGAUUAAAACGGGGAAACCAUAUAAGAUAACCAAUUGACAGUCCUAAAGUCUAUUAGCAAUAGUCAUAAUUCUUAAAAGCUAAGGGAACAAAAUUGAUUAAAUAAGAGGGCUUAAGCAUACCAACUGGGUAGACAACUUUGGCAUAGAAGAACUAACACCAUAUUGAACAAUCAUUCAACAAAAGGAAAGGUAUAGCAUACUGAACAUAGUUACACAUUAAGAAGGAUGAAGAGGCAAGUCUAUACAGUUAACAAGACAAACACAUACAGAUGCUAAUUUCUCAAAAAUUAAUUUUAGCACAAGACAUUAACCAAAAUGGAUUAGAAAAAGAUUUUAAACAAGUGAGACUUAUGUGAAAUAAUCAUGCUAUAAUGAUAUGCAAUUUUACAUGAAGAUGACCAUAAGCAGCAUAACAACAAACUAAUGGCAUGGUUUACCAUAAACUUCAAUAGUGUCCUAACUCAUAAGAAUAUCCAACACUAAAGGGGAAUGAGACAUGAAAACAUAGACAUUCACACCUAAUUUCCUAGGCAGAAGAGAGAACUAACAUAGCAAUUUUCCUUAGAGGUCAUCCUAAACCAAACAUGCAACAAAAUUUAAAUGACAUGGAGACAUGCUUCACCUAAUCGAUACAGCCUCAAAGAUCUAUCAUAUUGGGUAAGAAGAACUCCACGAAGUCUAGAAUAGAAAAAUAGAAAUGCAGGACAAAGUAGAGAACACACACUAGUCUAGAAACCACUAAGAAAACUGGAAUCCAUUCCGGUAAGAAAAGAAUUUCACAUGUGCUGAAAUGUAUUGAAUCCAACUAAUAAGGAACAUGGAAUUGCGGAGGAUUAUAAAAUAGUACCAUGGAAGUUCAAUAUUAGGGAUCUAUGAAUAACAAGGAAACUAAAUCAUGCUUACAUAUUUUAAACAAUAUUAGCACAUAAAACACACAUGUCAUAGACAAAACAGAACGGAGAAUAGUUGGCAUUGUAAGAGUCAAUGAAACUAACUAGUAACAAAGUUAAACGAGCAAAUGAGUGAAAAGUUUAGAAUAUUGGUAGCAAGAGAAACCCAGAUCCCCGAUGCUUCAGAAUUCACAAGAGCCUCCUGAAGGGCUCCGAGCAGUGCUUUCACCAGAGGAGGUCGUUUUAACAAUAUUAUGGCACUGCUUUCAUCCGUCCAAGAAUGCAAUGAUUCCAGAAAAUAUUCAAGUGUCUUAGAAGAAGGGAAUGCGUGAAAGAAUAAUAUAGUGAGUGUAAUUGUGAUGAAAUUAUUUUUCCAAAGAAGAAAUUGGGGAGGGUUUAUAUAUCAGCAAAAUCAACAUUCAAACAAGGAAAUAUAAUUAGUCGAACACAAAUAAAGAAAUAGAAGUAUGAAAAAUCAUUGAGAAUCAAUUUUAGAAGAAUCAAGCAAACCCUAGCUCAAAAGGAAAGCACAGAUAGUCAAAAAUCUCAAUGAAUCAGACCAUAUAGCCUGAUAGUGAGUGCAUAUACACAAAAUAUAGUUUAAAUCUCAAAGGUUGAAGGAGGUGGAACCCGACUUGGGGACUGUUACUUGCCAAAAUGGGACAAUUACUGUAUAACACCAUAGUCUUGUAGGGAAUGGUGAGAGGAUACAUAAAUGGUAAGAGGAUCGUAGUAAAAAUCCAUGAUUUGAUCGGAUUUGGAAGAGAUUUGAGUGAGGCGUCUAGGGUUUGAGAGGAGAGGGUGGAUAGGAUUUUAGGGCGGCGGUCUCAAGGAAAUGAGGUUAGAGCUUUUGGGUUGGGUUAAUAAAAAGGGGGAAUGAACGAGGGCCGUUGAUCUUGAGAGAUCAACGGCCAGUAUUAAAAAUUCAACGAGCGGGUCGUUUGAAGUGUGUUGCGAUCGGGCUUUAGUAAGGUGUAGUUUGGCUUGGUCCGGGGGUUGUUGGGCUAAGGAUUU
rnacentral:lncRNA from 1 species